rnacentral:rRNA from 1 species
GGAAGGGAUGUAUUUAUUAGAUUAAAAACCAAUGCCCUCCGGGGCUCACUGGUGAUUCAUGAUAACUUCUCGAAUCGCAUGGCCUUGCGCCGGCGAUGGUUCAUUCAAAUUUCUGCCCUAUCAACUUUCGACUGCUGGGUCUUGGCCAGCAAUGGUGACAACGGGUAACGGAGGGUUAGGGCUCGACCCCGGAGAAGGAGCCUGAGAAACGGCUACUACAUCCAAGGAAGGCAGCAGGCGCGCAAAUUACCCAAUCCCGACACGGGGAGGUAGUGACAAUAAAUACUGAUACAGGGCUCUUUUGGGUCUUGUAAUUGGAAUGAGUACAAUUUAAAUCCCUUAACGAGGAACAAUUGGAGGGCAAGUCUGGUGCCAGCAGCCGCGGUAAUUCCAGCUCCAAUAGCGUAUAUUAAAGUUGUUGCAGUUAAAAAGCUCGUAGUUGAACCUUGGGCCUGGCCGGCCGGUCCGCCUCACCGCGUGCACUGGUUCGGCCGGGCCUUUUCCUCUGGCGAGCCCCAUGCCCUUCACUGGGCGUGUGGGGGAACCAGGACUUUUACUUUGAAAAAAUUAGAGUGUUCAAAGCAGGCCUAUGCUCGAAUACAUUAGCAUGGAAUAAUAGAAUAGGACGUGCGGUUCUAUUUUGUUGGUUUCUAGGACCGCCGUAAUGAUUAAUAGGGACAGUCGGGGGCAUCAGUAUUCAAUUGUCAGAGGUGAAAUUCUUGGAUUUAUUGAAGACUAACUACUGCGAAAGCAUUUGCCAAGGAUGUUUUCAUUAAUCAGGAACGAAAGUUAGGGGAUCGAAGACGAUCAGAUACCGUCGUAGUCUUAACCAUAAACUAUGCCGACUAGGGAUCGGACGAUGUUAUUUUUUGACUCGUUC